GUCUACAUAUCUUAAAGGCACACAAUCCAGUCUGAUUUUGGAAGCCAAGCAGGGUCAACUCUGUUUAGUACUUGGAGGGGAGACCGCCAAGGAAUCCCAGGCGUGGUAGACA
rnacentral:rRNA from 1 species